AGUCAGAGGAAUAUUACAGGGAUGGUGAUAUUCCGGAUAGGCCGGUGUAUACUAUGUUUCUAAUUGAGGUGAUGAAUCUUAAGUCACUAAUGUAGGGACACUAGAACAAGCAUACAGGUGCUUGUUAGAGAACAAAUACACUGAGCAUGACUAUUUAGUUGAACAGCCACAUGGUUCUAUGCUCGCCAGUGACAAGUUCAUUGCUACAGUUGUGUGAAGUACUCCUUGGACCUGAGGCAUCAUAGUUGCUUCACGUAUAGGUUGCUACCGUUUGACAGUGCUAAUAUUUAGACUCUAGACACGGGUCUAUGUUCGGUCUGAUUGGCUGCAGUGAUUUAUGUGAGGAGGCAUGUGAAUGCGCAAUAAGGAAUCCAAAACUCUCAAUGACGAUGGAGAAUAUCCUAUGCAAUCUAUCGGACUUGACUCGGAAAACCCCUGGCCAAGGUAUAUGGUAUGUGGAAAGAGUUUCUAACUGUGUUACCAUAUUGAGUUGAUUUCAGAUAUUCUAGUCAUAUGGUCGAAUGAUAAGGUUUGGCGAGUAACCAUAACCUUAGUUCGAUUGGGACUGUAUGUUGGAAGCAAUUAAUAACAUGGUAAUUGUAAGAGGUUCAUUCUUUAUCACCAUUCUGGAUUACCGUGUUAUACUGCUAGGUGUCACUCAUAGACGAUAAGAGAAUAUGAAUGAAUCGCAUUGAAUUGUUCUUAUUUAUUGAUUAGAAGAGUUCUAAUUAAAUAUCAAAGAGUUUGAUGUUGAGCUUCACUGCCGAAUGGUAAUGAACCUAUGCGGUAACACACAUUAGAAAUUGUGUACACCUGAAUUGUUUGGAUGAUAGUCGUUUAUUAAAGAGUUUAGUGUAAGCGAUGAAAAUAAAAAGAAGCUGCUUAAUUAAAUUAGAUUUAAUUAUUCAAUUCGGUUAUAACUGAUUGUCCUAAUUAGAUUAGGAUCUCAGAAUCAGUUUGAGAAUUAAGCGCAUGAUUUAAAUUUAUCUCUAAUUAGAUUAGGGAUAAUAUUUAAUCAUAAAAGAUAUUUAAAUGAGAUUUAAAUAUUUAUUAAGUAAUCUUAUUGGAUAAGAAUAAAAUUAGAUAAGAUCUAAUUAAAUACGGAGAGAUUAAUUUUUAUCUCUAAUUGGAUUAGAGAAUAAUUAAAUAUUCAUAAUAUCUUAUGAGAUAAGAUUUUUAGUAGAUUUGAUCUAAUUGUACAAGCAUGAAUUAAUAUUUAAUCGUUAAAUUUUAUUGGAGAGGGAGAAAAUCUUAUUAGAUAAGAUUUUAUGGAAUAAAAUUCUAUAUAUAUACAUUAUACAUGUAUAGAUUUAUGGACGUGUUUGGUUUGAAGUCGGAAUCGAAAUCAGAAUCGGAAUCAAAAUAAGCUGGAAUCAGAAUCGGAAUGACUCAUUACCUAAUUAUGUUUAGUUCAUCACCUGAAUCGAAAUCAGAAUAAAUCAUUCCAAUUGUCGGUGUUUGGUUCAGGUGGAUAUAAAAAACAUAAUCAAAUUAAUAUACUAACUUUAUCUUUAUAAUAUAUUAAUUAAAUUCAAAUUGAAAAUUAAAUAUUAAAAAUUUACAUCAAAAUUUUGAAAUAAUGUCAAAAUUUAAAUUAUUUUUUUUAAAAAAAUUAAACUUUGAAGUUGAGUGGAUAAUUCAAAAUAUGAAACUAAAUUUUGAUUUAUUCAAAUUCAAACUUAAAAUUACAAUUUAAAUUUAAAUUUGAAUCUAUAAGUUUUAAAUAAAAUUUGAAUAAAACUGUAUAUAAAUUAAAAUUUAAUUUAAAUUCAAAUUCAUAAGUUAGAUUCGAAAUACUUGAUUAAAUUUUAAUUUUUAAUUCAAGUUCAAAUUAAAAUUUAAAAUUAUAUAUUUAAUUUCUAAAUUUAAACUCAUAUUUUAAUUAAAAAAGUUGAAAAAAUAAAUUUAAUGCGAAUAAAUAUCCAUUCCGUCGGGAUUCAACUUCCAAUCCGGCCUCCUAGGCCGGAUUAAAAAAAGAGGUGAUUAUGGGAUUCUUAUUCCACUCGAAAAUCGGAAUCGGAAUGAGACUUUCGUCCGCUUACCAAACACCCACAAACAGAUUCGCCAAUUCCGAUUUCAAUUUCAAGAUAAAAAAAGAAGCGAACCAAAUAUAUGUUUACAAGUUAUGAAUGUGAAUUAAGAAAAAAAAAAAAAAAAAAGGAAAAAGAGCCGUACGGCGCUGUGCCGUAUAGAUUGGAGGUAGCUCAAUUAAGGCGCCAUGCGCCUUCUUAAUUAACUAGACUAGAUGCAUAUACAUAUAGAGAUGAAUCUCUCUCCCGUUUUCUCUUCCGCGUGUGUGUUCUUUUCCGAUUAAUUUCUCUAUUUUUUAUCAACUGGUGGAUCACGAGGGAUUGCUAGCACUAUCCAGAAGGUCUGUAACUCAUCCGGUUCGUGAGACGAAAAUUGAUCGGGUAUGCGUCGAUUCCGUGUGAAUACGAGUAGAGGCCGGAUAUGUACGCGGCUAAUCAAAACUUCUAUUUGUCAUAUUCAGUACUUUCAAUCAUACAAUAGAUCAAAAGAGCUUAACUGGUCCACGAUAAGAUCUCUAAACAUAAAGAGUUUUCGUUUAGAUUAAAUUUUUAUCCGCCGGCAACGGUUUGAUUUAUUAAUUUUUCGGUUUUCAUAUGUGAUAUGUAUUUGGCUUUCGAAAAAUUUUAAAAAUCUAAAAUUAUUUUUCGCUGUGUUUUUCUAAUGCGUCGGUUAAUUUCUAACA
rnacentral:lncRNA from 1 species